rnacentral:rRNA from 1 species
GAUGAACGCUGGCGGCGUGCCUAAUACAUGCAAGUCGAGCGAACGGACGAGAAGCUUGCUUCUCUGAUGUUAGCGGCGGACGGGUGAGUAACACGUGGAUAACCUACCUAUAAGACUGGGAUAACUUCGGGAAACCGGAGCUAAUACCGGAUAAUAUUUUGAACCGCAUGGUUCAAAAGUGAAAGACGGUCUUGCUGUCACUUAUAGAUGGAUCCGCGCUGCAUUGGCUAGUUGGUAAGGUAACGGCUUACCAAGGCAACGAUGCAUAGCCGACCUGAGAGGGUGAUAGGCCACACUGGAACUGAGACACGGUCCAGACUCCUACGGGAGGCAGCAGUAGGGAAUCUUCCGCAAUGGGCGAAAGCCUGACGGAGCAACGCCGCGUGAGUGAUGAAGGUCUUCGGAUCGUAAAACUCUGUUAUUAGGGAAGAACAGAUGUGUAAGUAACUGUGCACAUCUUGACGGUACCGAAUCAGAAAGCCACGGCUAACUACGUG